GGUGAUAUAGCUCCGUUAGUAGAGUGUUUGCCUUGUACACACAAAGCCCUGGGUUCAAUUCCCAGCACCA
rnacentral:tRNA from 1 species